rnacentral:rRNA from 1 species
GACGAACGCUGGCGGCGUGCCUAAUACAUGCAAGUAGAACGCACAGUUUAUACCGUAGCUUGCUACACCAUAGACUGUGAGUUGCGAACGAGUGAGUAACACGUAGGUAACCUGCCUGGGAGAGGUUGGUAACUCUGGGAAACAAUAGCUAAUACCGCAUAAUAUUAAUUAUUGCAUAAUAAUUGAUUGAAAGAUGCAAUCGCAUAGCUACCUGAUGGACCUGCGUUGUAUUUGCUAGUAGGUGAGGUAACGGGCCACCUAGGCGACGAUACAUCGCCGACCUGAGAGGGGGAUCGGCCCACACGGGAACGAGACACGGCCCAGACUCCCACGGGAGGGAGCAGUAGGGAAUCCUCGGCAAUGGACGAAAGUCUGACCGGGCAACGCCGCGUGAGUGAAGAAGGGUCUUGGAUUCGAAAGCUCUGUUGUAAGGGAAGAACGGGUUGGGUAGGGGAAAGUGCACACUGUGACGGUACCUUAUCAGAAAGCGACGGCUAACUACGUG